CCUACGGGAGGCAGCAGUGAGGAAUAUUGGUCAAUGGGCGCGAGCCUGAACCAGCCAAGUCGCGUGAGGGAAGACGGUCCUAUGGAUUGUAAACCUCUUUUGUCGGGGAGCAAAAGACGCCACGCGUGGCGUUCCGAGAGUACCCGAAGAAAAAGCAUCGGCUAACUCCGUGCCAGCAGCCGCGGUAAUACGGAGGAUGCGAGCGUUAUCCGGAUUUAUUGGGUUUAACGGGUGCGCAGGCGGAAGAUCAAGGCAGCGGUAAAAUUGAGAGGCUCAACCUCUUCGAGCCGUUGAAACUGGUUGUCUUGAGUGAGCGAGAAGUAUGCGGAAUGCGUGGUGUAGCGGUGAAAUGCAUAGAUAUCACGCAGAACUCCGAUUGCGAAGGCAGCAUACCGGCGCUCAACUGACGCUCAUGCACGAAAGUGUGGGUAUCGAACAGGAUUAGAUACCCCGGUAGUC
rnacentral:rRNA from 1 species